rnacentral:lncRNA from 1 species
UCCAAUGGGCUGAGGAGUCGAGGCGGACGUCGCCGCAGGAGGCAGCGCCAUCCGGGCAGCAGGAGGCGCCGAGGGCAAGACCACCAGUCCGGCGGCCGAGACGAGGACGAGGCAGGGACCAGCGGCGUCCUCCUUGGCCCACCGCGGCGAGAGGCAGGAACCGAUGCAGGCGCAGCCGGAACCGGGCCGCCAGGAACCGAUGCCGGUGCGGCCGGAGCCGGGACGGGAGCGACCCCCUCCUGGAGGUCGGCAGGAACUACGACGGGAGCGACCCCCUCCUGGAGGUCGGCAGGAACUACGACGGGAGCGACCCCCUCCUGGGGGUCCGCAGGAACUACGACGGGAGCGACCCCCUCCUGGGGGUCGGCAGGAACUACGACGGGAGCGACCCCCUCCUGGGGGUCGGCAGGAACUACGACGGGAGCGACCCCCUCCUGGAGGUCGGCAGGAACUACGGCGGGAGCGACCCCCUCCUGGAGGUCGGCAGGAACUACGGCGGGAGCGACCCCCUCCUGGAGGUCGGCAGGAACUACGACGGGAGCGACCCCCUCCUGGAGGUCGGCAGGAACUACGACGGGAGCGACCCCCUCCUGGAGGUCGGCAGGAACUACGGCGGGAGCGACCCCCUCCUGGAGGUCGGCAGGAACUACGACGGGAGCGACCCCCUCCUGGGGUUCGGCAGGAACUGCGACGGGCGCGACCCCCUCCUGGGGAUCCGCCGGGACUGCGGCUGACGCGACCCCCUCCUGGGGAUCCGCCGGGACUGCGGCUGGCGCGGCCUCCUCCUGGAGGCGCGCAGGAACUGCGGCUGGCGCGGCCUCCUCCUGGAGGCGCGCAGGAACUGCGGCUGGCGCGACCUCCUCCUGGAGGCGCGCAGGAACUGCGGCUGGCGCGACCUCCUCCUGGAGGCGCGCAGGAACUGCGGCUGGCGCGACCUCCUCCUGGAGGCGCGCAGGAACUGCAGCUGGCGCGACCUCCUCCUGGAGGCGCGCAGGAACUGCGGCUGGCGCGACCUCCUCCUGGAAGCGCGCAGGAACUGCGACUGGCGCGACCUCCUCCUGGAGGCGCGCAGGAACUGCGGCUGGCGCGACCUCCUCCUGGAGGCGCGCAGGAACUGCGGCUGGCGCGACCUCCUCCUGGAGGCGCGCAGGAACUGCGGCUGGCGCGACCUCCUCCUGGAGGCGCGCAGGAACUGCGGCUGGCGCGACCUCCUCCUGGAGGCGCGCAGGAACUGCGGCUGGCGCGACCUCCUCCUGGAGGUGCGCAGGAACUGCGACUGGCGCGACCUCCUCCUGGAGGUGCGCAGGAACUGCGGCUGGCGCGACCUCCUCCUGGAGGUGCGCAGGAACUGCGACUAGCGCGACCUCCUCCUGGGGGCCGGCGGGCGCUACGGCUCCACGGGUGACGGGGACUGGAACGACCGCUACAGGGCCGACAGGAACGGGGACUGGAACGACCGCUACAGGGUCGACAGGAACGGGGACUGGAACGACCGCUACAGGGUCGACAGGAACGGGGACUGGAACGACCGCUACAGGGUCGACAGGAACGGGGACUGGAACGACCGCUACAGGGCCGGCAGGAACGGGGACUGGAACGACCGCUACAGGGUCGGCAGGAACGGGGUCAGAGACAGGGGUGACCUCUACUUGGCCUACGGGAACGCCCUCAACUUGGCCUACGGGAACGCCCUCAACUUGGCCUACGGGAACGCCCUCAACUUGGCCUACGGGAACGCCCUCAACUUGGCCUACGGGAACGCCCUCAACUUGGCCUACGGGAACGCCCUCAACUUGGCCGACAGGAACAGGAACUGGAACGACCUCAAUUUGGUCGACAGGGACAGGAACUGGAACGACCUCGACAUGGCCGACAGGGACAGGAACUGGAACGACCUCGACAUGGCCGACAGGGACAGGAACUGGAACGACCUCAAUUUGGUCGACAGGGACAGGAACGACCUCAACAUGGCCGACAGGAACAGGAACUGGAACGACCUCAACAUGGCCGACAGGAACUGGAACGACCUCAGCAUGGCCGACAGGAACUGGAACGACCUCAGCAUGGCCGACAGGAACUGGAACGACCUCAACAUGGCCGACAGAAACUGGAACGACCUCAACAUGGCCGACAGGAACUGGAACGACCUCAACAUGGCCGACAGGAACUGGAACGGCCUCUACAGGGCCGACAGGAACAGGAACGACCUCAACAUGGCCGACAGGAACUGGAACGACCUCUACGUGGCCGACAGGAACUAGAACGGCGUCCUCCUCUGAGGAGCCGACAGGAACUGGAACUAGAACGGCCUCAAUAUGGCCGACGGGAACAGGAACGGCGUCCUCCUCUGAGGAGCCGACAGGAACUGGAACUAGAACGGCCUCAAUAUGGCCGACGGGAACAGGAACGGCGUCCUCCUCUGAGGAGCCGACAGGAACUGGAACUAGAACGGCCUCAAUAUGGCCGACGGGAACAGGAACGGCGUCCUCCUCUGAGGAGCCGACAGGAACUAGAACGGCGUCCUCCUCUGAGGAGCCGACAGGAGCUGGAACGGCCGCAACAUGGCCGACAGGGACUGGAACGGCCGCAACAUGGCCGACAGGGACUGGAACGGCGUCAACUCCGGAGCUGGCAUGA